rnacentral:rRNA from 1 species
CUAUCAUGCAGUCGAACGGGAGUAGCAAUACUCUAGUGGCGCACGGGUGCGUAACGCGUAUGCAACCUACCUCUCAGUGGGGGAUUGCCCGGGGAAACCCGGAUUAAUACCGCAUAAGAAGAGUGAAUGGCAUCAUUUACUUUUGAAACAUUUAUGGCUGAAAGAUGGGCAUGCGUUAGAUUAGCUAGUUGGUGAGGUAGAGGCUCACCAAGGCAAUGAUCUAUAGGGGUUCUGAGAGGAAGAUCCCCCACACUGGUACUGAGNCAGGANCAAAAUUUAUACGGGAGGCAGCAGCGGGGAAUAUUGGGCAAUGCUCGCAAGAGUGACCCAGCCAUGCCGCGUGCAGGAAGAAGGCCUUCUGGGUUGUGAACUGCUUUUGGAAGGNAACAAAAUGACACUGCGGUGUAACUUGAGUGUACCUUCAGAAUAAGCACCGGCUAACUCCGUGCCAGCAGCCGCGGUAAUACGGAGGGUGCAAGCGUUGUCCGNAUUUAUUGNGUUUAAAGGGUGCGUAGGCUNCUUAUUAAGUCAGGGGNGAAAGACUGCAGCUCAACUGUAGCAGUGCCUUUGAUACUGAUGAGCUUGAGUACAGAUGAGGCAGGCGGAAUGGGUGGUGUAGCGGUGAAAUGCAUAGAUACCAUCCAGAACACCGAUUGCGAAGGCAGCCUGCUAAACUGUAACUGACGCUGAGGCACGAAAGCGUGGGGGAUCGAACAGGAUUAGAUACCCUGGUAGUCCACGCUGUAAACGAUGAUUACUCGAUGUUAGCGAUACACAGUUAGCGUCNAAGGGAAACCGAUAAUUAUCCCACCUGGGAGUACGCCCGCAAGGNUGAAACUCAAAGGAAU